rnacentral:rRNA from 1 species
GACGUAGGGUGCGAGCGUUGUCCGGAUUUAUUGGGCGUAAAGAGCUCGUAGGCGGCUUGUCGCGUCGACUGUGAAAACCCGCAGCUCAACUGCGGGCCUGCAGGCGAUACGGGCAGGCUAGAGUUCGGUAGGGGAGACGUGAAUUCCUGGUGUAGCGGUGAAAUGCGCAGAUAUCAGGAAGAACACCCGUGGCUAAGGCGGCUCUCUAGUACGGUACUGACGCUGAGACGCGAAAGCGUGGGGAGCGAACAGG